rnacentral:lncRNA from 1 species
GAGCACCAGGCCUGGGAGAGAAGCUGGGGCUGCUGGCUCCCUGGGAGAAGGUAGACGUUUGGCAGAAUCAGUCCUUGCGUGGCCGUCUCACUUCGUGCUCACUGGUGACCAGGGAAGAGCAACAGAGGAGGGGCCGCAGAGAUGGAGACCAGAGAUCCAGGCUUCGGCUGCAUUCCCAAGGAGCCUGAGGCGUCCAGGUAUGGAGAGGUCCAGAUGGUCCCAGGCAGCAGAAUAGAUGCUUGAGACCCCUCCUCACCUUCUGCUGGAGGCCCUGGGGGACUCUGUCAGUCUCCAGGCACAAGUCUCCUAAUGAGUUCACUGGCCCCGUCGUGGAGAACUGAUCUGAUUUCCGGAAGAUGCCUGCCUGCCCUUUGUCCCCCUGAGCCUCUGGGAAGGUUCUGGAUUCAGCUGAAUUAAGAGGCAGGUGAUGAGCACAGGUGUUGGGUGCUUGGGCAGGAGUCUCCAUGGUAACUGAGCCAUCUGGCUUUUUGCCUGGCACCAGGCCUUGUGACUUCAUGAUGGAAUCUUCUCUGCCAGGCGCAGAGGUUUCCCAGGGGGAGGAGGAGGCCAGGAGGAAGGGACCUGCUGAGGAGGCUUUGUCUUUUCACCCAGAGUUUGAAGAUGAAGCUUGAUCUUGUCAUGACUCAGGGCUGCUGCUGACUCCCCAACGGCCGCUGGAGGUAGCAUCCGAGGGGAGAUAGUGUAAACAGCAUUGUGCACUGGCCACCUUUGGCUGAGCCCCUUGGAGAGUUAAUGGAGGCAACUCUGACUUCCUUCAGUCCAGGCUGGCUGGUGGAGUGGAGCCAGGACCCAGGUGGGAAAGACUGAGGUCUGGGAGAGCUGUUGGCCCACCACUGGGAGGCCCACACUGGGCCAGCACCACCGCAUGACAGGAAGGAUGUUCCAGGAGAGCUGCAAGGCUGAGCCCAGAGUCUUGUCCUCUCUGAGGCUCCUGGAGGAGGACAACCCAGAGCCCCCAUCCCAGCAACUACAGGCCACCGGUUCAGGGGGCAGUGAGUCCCUCAGCAACCUUGACCUCUCCCAUGGGCCCCUGGUGGCCCUGGAGUGCCUGCCCUUCUUCCGCACCUACGGGCAGCUCCUGGCUGAGGAGGAGUUGGUCCCACGGCCUGAGGUCUUCAGGGACCAAGGAGGAGACCAGAGUGUCAGAGAGGAGGACUCAGAGCUGCCCAGCAGCUUCUUCCCUUACUACUGCUCCAAGGAGGAGAGUUUCCCCAGCCUGGCCCUCCCUGGCGGGUCAUGUGCAGGCUCCCGUGGCCCCCCUACCAGGAGGGAGAUGCAGGCCUGCUGCCGCUGCACAAGGACAGUAAGCGGCGACUGCUCUGCUGGCCCAGCAGACCUCACCUCUCGGCGCUCUCACUCAGCUGCCUGCUGCCCUAUCCUGCUGGUCUCAGCCGGGCAUUCCCAUGACAGCGGCCUGGACACCCCUCUCUCCAGCGACGUUGCCUUCGGGUCCCAGUCCCUUCAUGCUUCAGGAUUUGUGCCUUACUACAGAAGCCCCGAGGAGGGGCUGCACAUAAGCCCUGGGCCCCCCGCCUCUCCACUGUGGGGCCAGGAGUCCGCAGGAAAGCUGCCCAGGCCCAGGGUAGCCACACUGUUGAGGGAGCAGGAGCUGGUGGUGGCAGGAACCACCAGCGGACAGCCCCCAGUACCUGAUGAUCAGCACGCAAGAGGGGAAGUGACUGAGGGCAAGGCUCCAGGGCUCAGCUUGUGGGACUGGAGCUGGCCUGGGACUGCAGCCCCCAGGCCUUCAUUUUCCCCUCUGGAGGGAGGCACCCAAGCCCAGGCUCUCCUGUUGGUCUCGAAAGAAGACCCUGCACCCUACUAGUGGGUGGCUUGACCCUGGGGUCUGAGUCAGCAGAGGAGAGCUCAGCCUGCAUCCCAUGCUCAGCCACACCCCCAGGAAGUGACCCCACCACCCUGGCUGCUCCCACUCCUCUCUCCUGGCUGGAAAACCUGCCCAAUGGAGAGCAGCUGUCCUAGGAGUGCCUCCACAAAGGGGAGGGAGCAGGGUUUGCCUGAACACUUGAGAGGUGCGGAGAUCAGAGAUUGGUUUGUGAAUAAAUCAUUCCACUCCCAGGGCUGGACUUGGUACACUAAUUUGAUGCUUUGGAGUAAUACUUGUGGCUUCCAUUUAUGGAGCACGUACUGUAUGCUAGGCAUCUCACAGAGAUCAUCUCCAUAGUCCUGAGGUACAGACACUGGGGUCAUCUGCAUUCUACAGCUGAAGAAACAAGCUCAGGGAGGUCAAGUAACGUGCCUGAGCUCACACAGCUCAUGGAGAGCAGAGCUGGGAUUCACACCCAGGUCCAUCUGACCUGGGGCCCUGAGCGCUUGAGCACUUGCCCUCAUGCCCCUCCUCGGGGAGUCUUGACACAGCCAGGGGAGAGUCAGCUGCUCCCUGACAGGCUGCCCUGGACCUGCCCCCACCUCCCUCCUCCUCACUGCCCCUCUGCCUUUCCUCCUCCAGCUCUCUGCUCUUUGGAGCAACGUAGUCUGCCGAGCCCCUGCCUACUCGGACCGCAUGGACAUGUCUGGCGCCCCAACUCCAGGUUCACCCCGUGUACCGCAGCAGAGGGCCAUGAGGCUGAAGCAGGUGGGUGCAGGCCGUGUGCUGCACCUGGGGCUGUGCACGUGCUCACUGGCCGCUGUUUGAAACCGUCCCUAGUGCCCGGUCACGCCCGCCAUGCCCCAUGCUCACAGCCACUCUGUCCCACCGUGCUGGCUCCCUGUCCACACACCCCGGUGGCUGAUUUGUUCCUGACCAGGGGGAUGCCUGCCCCUGCUCCCCACUCUUCCUGAGGAUGGGGAAGUUGAGGAGGACGGGAAAGAAAGCAGUCACUCACACUUCAGGUACAUGCAAGAAUUUCUUCUAAAGUUUCUCUUCUGUUGUUUGCUGUGAUUUCCCUUUGGGCUGGGAGACUUGGGGUUAGGAGUGUGAUGGAUGAAAUCUAGUGGCCUUGCUGGAAGACUCCUUGGCUUGGCCUGAGGGGACUGGCCUGACCCCUUGUGUGUUCCUCAGAGCCGGGUGUGGGUGGAUCUGUGCUGGCUGGCAUCCUUGAGCCCUCACUGCCUUCAG